UCUCUCUAUCUCAGUCGACUCUCUCUCUCUCUCUCUCAUUGGUUCUCUCACUCUCGUUCGCUCUCUAUCUCAAUAUCUCUCACACGCAGUCGGACAUCAGCAUUUGGCAAGUAUCUCAUUCACACAUCGGCAACAUUUGAUUGAGGAAUUUAAGGGUAAGGUUGGUGGUGUUAAAGUUAAAUCCAUUGACACAACUGGUGCUGGUGAUGCAUUUGUCAGUGGGAUACUGAGCAGUUUGGCAUCUGACCUAAAUUUGUAUAAGUGGCCGAUCAAGCUUGACAGGGGGCUGUAAAAUAAAAACAGUGAUUUGAUGACAAACCUUACAUAAGAUUUGCGGUUGUAGUGACUUGAGGGAAACAGGGUCGAGUUUGGCCUUUCUCACAAGAAUAGCAUACCCAAAAGUGAGAUUCAAUCUCAUGCAAUCUAUAGAGAACUAGCACGACCAUGGAAUUCUAAGUGAAGGUUAACAUGACAGAAAUGAGAUGCUAAGGGAGUCUGCAUUCCACGUAUUGAUUACCAGCUACCAACUGCUGGUAUCCGAUGAAAAGUAUUUCUGGUGUUUGAAAUGGCAAUAUAUGGUUUUAGACGAAGCCCAGGCUAUUAAAAGUUCAAACAGGUUUAACUUCAUCUUCCAGAUUGAUGUGCUUCUGAUUAUUUUAAUUUCAUAACCUUUCUAUAGUGCAUUAGCAGAUAAAUUUCACCUGAUUGUCUUGGUGCAGGAUUUGUUUCUUUUUUGUUGAUACUUAAAAUUUAAUCAGGUGCUUAUUAUUAUUAUCUAAAUAUGAGUUUUAUUUAGCUCUGUGUUAGUAUGCAAAGUAAACUUAUUACAUGUUAAUGAGCAAAUUAUUCACAGGUAAGAAUUAGUUAGGUUCCAAUCUAGUAAGUACGUCAUUUCACAAUCUUCAAUUCUCUGCCAUUAUAUGCAUUAAAUAUAACCCUUACUCUAUGAUUUCCUGUGUUCUUGAUGGUUAUGAUGAAUACAUUAGUUUUGCAGUAUAAGGUGGAAAACAUUGCUCAGUUUCAAUUGUAGAAACCACUUUGCUUCUGACUGGUACACCCAUACAGAAUAACAUGGUGGAGCUGUGGGCCCUUCUUCAUUUUAUAAUGCCCACCUUUUUUGACAGCCAUGAGCAGUUCAAUGAGUGGUUUUCAAAAGGCACUGAAAAUCAUGCAGAACAUGGAGGAACCUUGAACAAACACCAACUCAACAGACUGUUAUGGAAGGCCCCUCUUAAAUCAGCUCAUGCAGCCCUUAUGGAUAUCAGAUCAGGAGGACCCCCCUGGUGGUGGAACUGGAUGGAAUGACAACUUCCAGGAUAUCAAUUCUUUGAAAGCCAAACAAUUCCUGCAAAGAAUGGUCUAACACCAUCCAACCCCAUUUCAGAGCACAGUCCGCUACCACAAUCAAGUAACUACAAGCAAGGAAGGUUUUGCUUUGAGAACCUUGAGGCCCUUACACCAAGAUCUUCAAAAUCAUCCAUGCCCACAAGAACGAAACUUAGACCAACUCUAUCAAGUCGAGCGCCACAAACAAGUAUCUCCACCCCAGUGAAGCAUCCAAAGCAAAGAACAAGUGCAUCUGAAGUUUAUACAUUGAGAGAUGAUGAGAGCCUCACAAGCUACCCGCCAUUUUCCAUGCCCAAUUACAUGGCACCAACAAUUUCUUCUAAAGAAAAAGUGAGAACUCUUAGGAAUCUCAAAAAGGGGACACCAACUCCAAGUCAAGAAGCAAAGAGACAACUAUCUUUUCCUUUAACCCAAAGCAUUGGAUCUCUGAGGUGGAACAAGUGCUCUCUGUUCUCAGACAAGGAUUCCAUGUCUCAAAGGAUAUCAGGGAAGCAUAAGUCUACCCCUUCAAUAGGUAAUUUGAGUGUGGAUUCCACCAUAUCUUCGCCUGUUGGAGUUGGAAGGAAGCCAUUCAAGUGAAUUUGUGUGAUUUUUCUAUCUUUAGGCUUAUAUUUCUUUUUCUAUUUUAUUCUUUUUUUUCUUCUUUGGUGGGUGUUUUGCUUGAGAUGUUUAAACUAAAGUCUUGUAUAAUUAGUGCUUGUAUCAGAAAUAAUAAAGCAACAUUAGGGAGUGAUAAAUUGAAUGCAGAAUCCUCACUGUUAAAUUGUA